AGGGUGAAACGCCUCCGGGCGGAAGCCGUACACAGCCCUUUCCAGAACGUUCUGCGCGCUGACUGACAGGCCGGCGCAGCCUGCGGCGACCGGAGGGCGCCCUCUGCUGUCCCGUCCGCACUUCAUCGCAUCCCCCCCCAGCCGCGGUGGCGUGGAGGCGGUUAGUUAAAAACGAGAAAAAAAUCAAUUAUUUUGUGAGGAAAAAAUAAUCCGACAAUGCUGAUUUGGCGCCCUACAAUACAUAUUCCUCCUCCCACACCUGCUGCUUGUGUAAGUUUUGUCAGGAUUUUGUUAAAGUGUUAUUUACAGCCUGAGUGCUCUAAGGGAAAAGUGCUGAGUUGAAAAAUAAAAUUAAAAGUUGAGUUAAACUCAGCUGACGAGCACAAUAUUGUUUUUUUUCCAAUUCUUUUUUUUUUUUAAAGUACUGUUUUGUCACCACUUUAUGGUGGUUUAUAGUUCCCUUAAAUGGCUCUUGGUAUCAGAUGGCAAAUGCUAAAAACUGUAAAUCCAGCUUGUCUAAUCCAGAGUUUAAAAUAUUCUUGUGAUGUCACAAAAUGAUGGUUUAUAAAAUAUUUUCAUUUAAUUAGGAAGCACUAAGAGGAUUUCUGCAAGGAGGGAAAAAAAAAGGCGAGCAGCUCAGUUUGAAUUAUUUAUGCGCUGUGAACUAUCAUGGUUGCUGCUGAAGCUUUUCAAGUACAAAAACAGGGGCUUUGCUCGAUUUUCACUUUUAGCCCUUAAUUCUUUAAUUAUUCAGGCAUGCAAAUUCCUGUGAACUGGGAUUAAUUAUGCAGGUAAUCAAGGUUUUAUUCAAAGUUUAGUUUUAAAAAGCAAAGAUUAGCUGAUAGUACCGUGGGUGCUGCUGUCGCUGUGCUCAUGCACUGAAAUACUAUUUGCAGGUACUAUAACGGCUUCUGAUUUCAUGGAAGCAAAAAGGGGGAUGGAUGGAUUCAUGCACUGUGCAAAACAAGGAAUGCCAGCUAUGGCAGCCUGGUGGUGGUUGGCUGGCAUAGCUCGCUGUCUAGCAAGGGUGAAGGAUGUCCUCCACAGGGAUUGAGUGCUCAUUGUCCUUUUGCAGGGAUGGAAGCCACUUCCAGCUUUGGGUGGAAGAAGAAGGGCCAAGGAGCUGAUCUUCAAUUGUACGGAAUGAACAGCAACAGAUGGAGAAGUAGGAGACAAAUGAAUUGUUCCUUCCUUUUCUGUAUCUCUUUUUGGAUUUAAUUAUCCAUGGAUUUUGUAGCUGUCAACUGAUGGAUGUGCAAUCUACCAGUGCCUGCUGGCUAAUCCACUUUGGGACUUUAUUAGAUUGGUUGAAAAAUGAUUGAAUUAGAAUAAUAUUCUGCUGUAAAUAAAACAAUAGUGGGAGAAUAAGGAAGUCUAUGGAAAAAGUGUUAUUGGUAUCAACAGAAGAAACUGAGUUUCAAUUUCUAAGGGGUAAAUCUGAGUAUCAGUUACAUUAGUGCAGCGCCACAGAAAGAGCUGGGCUUGUUCUUACGAGACUGAGAACUACAUAAAAGAAAAAAAUGAGAGACAGAAAAAAUUAGCAAAAAAAAAAAAAGUCUUGUGGUUUGGUAGGAAUCCAAAUAGAGGAUAUUAAAUUUGGUUUGUGUGGCCAGUAGCAUCUUGUAAACCCAGAUGCAGAACAUAGAAAGUCGUAAAGCAAUAGCAACUGGAGGAAGAGAAAUGGGAAGUUGUAGACCUAUCAAAAGAAAUAGAAGUGAGUGCCUUUAAAAAAUGAGUACUUGAGGGUUUGCGUAACUGGAGAUCUGUCUUAUGCCAUGAGAAUAUUUUCUCUGUGUGAAGUUUCUAUUCAAUGAAUCGUACUCAAAUG